AUGUGGACGUGCGCGUCCGAUUUUUCAUUUAGGCCGGCAGUUUCGAGCGACCGCGACCAGCCGCCCACACCCACACCGACGGUGGCCAUUCCGGCCCCGUCGGCCACCAAACCGCAGCCCUGCGUCCGGCCGGCCGGCAUGCUGCCGCCACCUCCUGUCGCGCUCCCCGCGGGCUCCGUGCAGCGCAUCAUCCCGCUGCCAUCCCCGUCCCCUGCUCAGUUGGAUCUGGAUCGGGAUCCAGCGCCGCCGCCAACGCUCGCCUGCCCUGCUGUGUCCGUGAUGCUCCCCCUGGCCGCGGCUGCACUCGCCUUCCGCAAGGCCGAUCCGGCCGUAGGUGGUCAUCUGGCCCAUGGUUGUUGUCUGCCAAGGACCGUGAAGACGAGCGCUACAGCGCGCCUGCCCGUCGUCCAUGCUACCAUGGCCGGCGCGUCCGUUCAGGAUCUGCACCUUCAGUCGACCCUGCAAUGUGGUUGUCCAACUCCGGCGGCUCAUGCUCUUCUCCAGUGCACUCUGCCCAUUCAAGAUCGGGAGAAUCGUGGUCCUGCUGGGCCGACAGUGACAUCUCCGAUCCUGCAGGCCACCACCACCGCUCUCCCUGCCAGCAACUCUGCCGACCAGCUGUCGCCGCCUCCGGCAUCGACUCCUGCAUCCCUGUCGACGGCUACGCCGAUUGAGUACACUGCUUCCCGAACGUCGUUGUCGUCGCCGCUGGCAUCAGGCGACUCUGCAAGCAUGUCUUGCACCGUCCCAGUCACUUCUCCCGUGCAUUCGGCUUGGGGAGAUUGGCUUGGAUGCUUCCGCAAGGAGAAGUCUCAAGCUGCUCUCAUGUGUUGUGCGCCGGCACCUCAUGAAGAUUCAUUUGGGGACUGGCACCUCGUCAAGGGGCGCCGUCAUUCACCAUCUUCAACAGGCUUCCGGCAUCCCGCUUCUAAUGCACAACCGACUCCUCCGGCGUGGCUGAGGGACCGAUGCUUUCGGUGCCUCUGCAGAGGUCAUCAUGCCUGCUCUUGCAGGGACCCAGUUCGGUGCAGGAACUGCCUUCGCUUUGGCCACAUUGCUCGCUUUUGCCGCGCAAAACAACCCAGGGACCAGACUAUGCCGCUAAGUCAUGUUACUCCACUGAAUCCACCAAUAUCUGCUCCUGCCAACGAUGCUACCCCGAUGUUUGCUCCUGCCAACGAUGCUACCCCGACAGAUGUACCGCAACAGUUGGUCCUCAUGGAGCAGGUUGUGCUGCUCCGCACCGAGCUGCAAGACUGCUUGGCGAGAGUUGGGAGUGUUUUGGCAAAUGUAGAGGCCGCUCUUGCCAAGCUCCAGGUUGUGCCUGUUAUGUCCCUGCUGCCCGAGAUCCAUGUUAAUUCGGCCGAUGAGGAAGCUGGCAUGUAUGGAGAUCUCUCCCCUCGCAGUGCAUCCUGCCCAUCGCCGUUGCCUAUCGUGCCAAUUACUUCUGGAAGUGAAGCUGUUAUCGAGGUCGUGGCUCCGGUGCUUCAGAUUAUGCAUGAGCUGCAAAAGCUUUGUGGGGAGCCCACUUCGCCUAUUUCGAUGAUGCUUCCUAUGGAGAUGGAGUCGCUUGGAGGGGCCUUGACGAUGCCGACCUCGACCUCACCACCGUCGUUGGAGCACAGUCAGCCACUCGCCUUUGUGGACCAUGAAGGGUUGGAUGUUGCUAUUGCUCUCUCACCUGUGGCUGUUGGCCAGGUGCCGUCUGUGGGUGUAGGUGCUUUGGCACCUAAUUCUGAGGCGCUAAAGUCCAUCCGGCCGCCCAUCUUUGACCGUGAUGGUAUGAGGCUGCCUACAUGGCACGCCAGCGUGGCAAAGGCCCGUUGUCAGCGCGACAAAGAUUGUGAAAAUUAA
rnacentral:rRNA from 1 species